rnacentral:misc_RNA from 1 species
GAUGAAGAACGUAGCGAAAUGCGAUAAGUAAUGUGAAUUGCAGAAUUCAGUGAAUCAUCGUAUCUUUGAACGCACAUUGCGCCCGCCAGUAUUCUGGCGGGCAUGCCUGUCCGAGCGUCAUUUCAACCCUCGAACCCCUCCGGGGGGUCGGCGUUGGGGAUCGGCCCUUUACGGGGCCGGCCCCGAAAUACAGUGGCGGUCUCGCCGCAGCCUCUCCUGCGCAGUAGUUUGCACACUCGCAUCGGGAGCGCGGCGCGUCCACAGCCGUUAAACACCCCAAACUUCUGAAAUGUUGACCUCGGAUCAGGUAGGAAUACCCGCUGAACUUAAGCAUAUCAAUAAGCGGAUGA